rnacentral:rRNA from 1 species
GGCUAACGCUGGCGGCGUGUCUUAGCCAUGUAAGUCGAGCGGACUUAUGGGGUAACUUAUAAGUCAGCGGCGGACGGCGGAGUAACACGUAGCUAACCUACCCUCUGGACGGGGAUAACCUACCGAAAGGUGGGCUAAUACCCGAUGUAGUCAUCCUGUAUAGGGGUGAUGAAAGGUGGGCUUCUGUUUACAAGCUCAUGCUGGAGGAGGGGGCUGCGGCCUAAUCAGGUAGUUGGUAGGGUAAUAGCCUACCAAGCCGAUGACGGGUAGCCGGCCUGAGAGGGUGACCGGCCCGAGGGGCACUGAGAUACGGGUCCCACUCCUACGGGAGGCAGCAGGCUAGAAAUUUGGGCAAUGGGGGAAACCCUGACCCAGUGACGCCGCGUGCAGGAAGGAGCCCUUCGGGGUGUAAACUGCUGUCGUGUAGGGAGAAGGGUACUAAGGUGAACAAUCUUAGUACUUGACGGUACUACAGGAGGAAGCCCAGGCUAACCUCGUG